rnacentral:rRNA from 1 species
AGUGAACGCUGGCGGUAGGCCUAACACAUGCAAGUCGAACGGCAGCACAGUAAGAGCUUGCUCUUACGGGUAGCGAGUGGCGGACGGGUGAGGAAUACAUCGGAAUCUACUUUUUCGUGGGGGAUAACGUAGGGAAACUUACGCUAAUACCGCAUACGACCUACGGGUGAAAGCAGGGGAUCUUCGGAUCUUGCGCGAUUGAAUGAGCCGAUGUCGGAUUAGCUAGUUGGCGGGGUAAAGGCCCACCAAGGCGACGAUCCGUAGCUGGUCUGAGAGGAUGAUCAGCCACACUGGAACUGAGACACGGUCCAGACUCCUACGGGAGGCAGCAGUGGGGAAUAUUGGACAAUGGGCGCAAGCCUGAUCCAGCCAUACCGCGUGGGUGAAGAAGGCCUUCGGGUGGUAAAGCCCUUUUGUUGGGAAAGAAAAGCAGCAGGUUAAUACCCCGCUGUUCUGACGGUACCCAAAGAAUAAGCACCGGCUAACUUCGUG